GCGCACCAGGCGCGAAACUUCACAAUGUGCGAAAGCACGAUGAGGGAAUCCCAAGUGCUUGCACGUAAGUGUAAGCUGUUUCUCUGUCUAAAACGCAGAGAGAGUAAGGGCUGGGUAAGACGGGUGCCAGCCGCCGCGGUAAUACCUGCAGCUCGAGUGGUGACCGUUAUUAUUGGGCCUAAAACGUCCGUAGCCGGUUUAAUAAAUGCCUGGGUAAAUCGGACCGCUUAACGGUUCGAAUUCCGGGUAGACUGUUAAACUUGAGACCGGGAGAAGUUAGAGGUACUCCUGGGGUAGAGGUGAAAUUCUGUAAUCCUAGGGGGACCACCAGUGGCGAAGGCGUCUAACUAGAACGGGUCUGACGGUGAGGGGACGAAGCCCUGGGGCGCAAAC
rnacentral:rRNA from 1 species